rnacentral:rRNA from 1 species
GGAUAGAGGCCUACCAUGGUGGUAACGGGUAACGGGGUGUUAGGGCACGACACCGGAGAGGGAGCCUGAGAAACGGCUACCACAUCCAAGGAUGGCAGCAGGCGCGCAAAUUACCCAAUCCCGACACGGGGAGGUAGUGACAAUAAAUAACAAUACGGGGUUCUUUAGGAUCUCGUAAUUGGAAUGAGUACAAUUUAAAUCUCUUAACGAGGAACAAUUGGAGGGCAAGUCUGGUGCCAGCAGCCGCGGUAAUUCCAGCUCCAAUAGCGUAUAUUAAAGUUGUUGCAGUUAAAAAGCUCGUAGUUGAAUUUCGGGGUUAGUAGGUUGGUCAUGCCUCUGGUAUGUACUGGUCUCACUGAUUCCUCCUUCCUUAUGAACCGUAAUGCCAUUAAUUUGGUGUUGCGGGGAAUUUGGACUGUUACUUUGAAAAAAUUAGAGUGUUUAAAGCAAGCUAACGCUUGAAUACAUUAGCAUGGAAUAAUGAAAUAGGACGUUCGAUCUUAUUUUGUUGGUUUCUAGGAUUGACGUAAUGAUUAAUAGGGAUAGUUGGGGGCAUUAGUAUUCAAUUGUCAGAGGUGAAAUUCUUGGAUUUAUUGAAGACUAACUACUGCGAAAGCAUUUGCCAAGGAUGUUUUCAUUAAUCAAGAACGAAAGUUAGGGGAUCGAAGACGAUCAGAUACCGUCGUAGUCUUAACCAUAAACUAUGCCGACUAGGGAUCGGAUGA